rnacentral:rRNA from 1 species
GACGAACGCUGGCGGCGUGCUUAACACAUGCAAGUCGAACGGUGAAGCGCCUUCCUUUUUGGUGGGUGUGGAUGAGUGGCGAACGGGUGAGUAACACGUGAGUAACCUGCCCCCUUCUUCUGGAUAACCGCAUGAAAGUGUGGCUAAUACGGGAUAUUCUGGGUCUGUCGCAUGAUGGGUCUGGGAAAGAUAUUGUUUCGGUGGGGGAUGGGCUCGCGGCCUAUCAGCUUGUUGGUGGGGUGAUGGCCUACCAAGGCGGUGACGGGUAGCCGGCCUGAGAGGGUGGACGGUCACACUGGGACUGAGACACGGCCCAGACUCCUACGGGAGGCAGCAGUGUGAAUAUUGCACAAUGGGCGCAAGCCUGAUGCAGCGACGCCGCGUGAGGGAUGGAGGCCUUCGGGUUGUGAACCUCUUUCGCCAGUGAAGCAGGCCUGCCUCGUUUGUGGGUGGGUUGACGGUAGCUGGAUAAGAAGCGCCGGCUAACUACGU